GACGAACGCUGGCGGCGUGCCUAAUACAUGCAAGUUGAGCGCUGAAGGUUGGUACUUGUACCAACUGGAUGAGCAGCGAACGGGUGAGUAACGCGUGGGGAAUCUGCCUUUGAGCGGGGGACAACAUUUGGAAACGAAUGCUAAUACCGCAUAAAAACUUUAAACACAAGUUUUAAGUUUGAAAGAUGCAAUUGCAUCACUCAAAGAUGAUCCCGCGUUGUAUUAGCUAGUUGGUGAGGUAAAGGCUCACCAAGGCGAUGAUACAUAGCCGACCUGAGAGGGUGAUCGGCCACAUUGGGACUGAGACACGGCCCAAACUCCUACGGGAGGCAGCAGUAGGGAAUCUUCGGCAAUGGACGAAAGUCUGACCGAGCAACGCCGCGUGAGUGAAGAAGGUUUUCGGAUCGUAAAACUCUGCUGGUAGAGAAGAACGUUGGUGAGAGUGGAAAGCUCAUCAAGUGACGGUAACUACACAGAAAGGGACGGCUAACUACGUG
rnacentral:rRNA from 1 species